CCACUGCAUGAUGCUUUUAGACCAUUUUUAAGGAAAUAAGUGCUAUUUCUACUGAAAGAAUGAAUGAGAAAAACAUACAGUCACCUAAAAACUCUUUUGAAGUUAGGCAGAAUUAAAUGAGAAUUGAGGUAAGUGUUACGUAAGAAUUAAACGAGGCAGUAUGCUGCAAUCACAUAGGUCAAAAAAAAAAACCUACCUAUGAGAACAAAAGAGGUAGAAAAAAACAACAAAAACGUUAGUAGUCCAUUCAUUCAUUCGUCAACACAUAUAAAUUGAACACCUGUUACAUACCAGGCACUGUGUUCAGCACAGAGAGAUAUAAUUGCCAUCCUGGGGCUUACAUUCUAGCGGAGGGGACAAACACAACAUUCAAGUCAGCAUGUCACUGGGGCUGACUCCUCUCUCCCUGCUUUUUUCCCUUUUUUCUUCUGUUUACUAUCAACUAUGCUCAUGAAUGUUCGCUUUAAUAAUAUUCAUUUUAAAUGACUGAACUUUUCUCAGAUUUUAAAAGAAAUCAACUAUGCAAACUGAUCAUUAUUUGUCAGGCUCAUUUCCAAUUCUAACAUUCAGAAAUACAAGAUAGAGAGCACUCUAUAAAUUGACCAAGUGCCAGAAAAGUUUCCUAGAGAAGAUCAAGACAAUCUUUCUGUCAUUUGUACAAUGCAGCUGUCAUACCUUUUCAAUUACCAUGUGGAUCCCAGUCUUUCCAACACUGAAUCUGUAUGUUUAGAGAAUAAACCAGAAUAAAAACACUGACAACACAGAGGUGUGAAUAGUAAUUAUAAUUAACCCUUUCUAAAAGAAAAGGUAUAUGUAAUAGUACAUAAUAGAGUAACAAUUGUAACUCAAGUCUUUUUUUUUCCUUUUUACUCAAAGCAUAAACCAGACACAAUACGUUAUACCAGAUUAACAUGCAACUUAAAAAGAGGUUAAUGUACAUACUAAGCAUGGAAAUUCACCAGUAAAAUCUCAUUUGUCAUUUUACCCCCACUACCUUGACAUUAUUCUUCCAUUUCAUAAUCAACAAGGUUCUACUUCUGGUCACCUGAUAAAUGCCUUGCAUUCCUGGAGCUUGACAUUUCAGUCAAUUAUGGACACAAGAACAAUGUUACAAGCAUAAAGAAAAAAUGCAUCUACGAAACAGCUGACUGCACUGCUUUCAAUGGAAAGGUCCUGAAGCAUUAUUUCCCUAAACACCUAACACAUCAGCACUGACCAAAUAAAAACCACCCAAGCACUCUAAAAUUCUCACUUUUUCAAACAUUCCUUGUGUGUAAAAUUUUCUAAGCAUACAGAGAAACACAAGUUCACAAAAUGAUAAAAAGAUAAGACAAAAUUUCUGCCUCUUCUUGAAUGCAAAUCUUGAGUCAAAACCUUUUAUUGUUUUGGAAAUUCAAAUACAAGAAACCUAAGGUUUUCUUAUUUGCUUGUCAAUAUGCAUAGAGCCCAAUUGGCAGGGAUGGAGAGGGGACGGGGGAAGGUGUUAUACAAACAGACUAGGUGGAACCCAUUUUUACCUAGGCUUCUCUAGGACAAUAUGAUAAACAAGAAAGAUUAGUAUCUACUAGAAGAAUUUGUCAUAUUUAAAAUCAAUAUGAUUAGUAAAAUGUAUUUUAAGUACAAAUUAAAAUGAUUAGUAUACAUUUCUCUCAUCUCUAGCAAACAAGAGAGCCCUCAUUAGACAUAGCUGCCUCCUCAAUGCUGUAUCUUGGACAUUAGCCUAAAAAAAUAUCUUUAAAAGUGCUUUGCAGGUAUCACCUCAUCUCAUGGAACCAUAGAGGGAUCUAAGAAAAGGCUACUCCAAUCUAAAGGACUAUUUUCAAGCAAAAAUAGAGGAAUUCUGUGUAUCAUCAAUGAAAGAAGUUUAGGGGAAGGGUAUAGUACAUAUUACAAUAAUUUAAAAUCAUACGCACAUUUCACUUUCCAUGCACGAUGAUUUUAACAUGAAACAAUGUAACUAUACAUCACUGAAAAUACAAUCAAGCUUUGCCCCAGAACUUACAGCCACUCUCUAUAGUCAGUUAAGAAAAACCCUGGAAGAAUAUAUGAUAAAUGUAUUCAGAUUCUAUUAGUUUUAUUUGUAAGCAGAUUCUAAACAAAGAGGAUGAAUUUGGGCACAUAUACACAUGCACAAAUGAAAUGGUUCAACAUCUAAAUGAUAUGACACAAAAUUACCACUAUGAGAAUCAAGAGGCUACUCUUAUGCAAGCAACAAACUUUUACUUAUGAUUUCAAACAUACAGUUUAAUUUUCUGUUAAAACUGUUUUAAAAAACAGUACUAGGGUUCAGUUUUCUAGUCUCGGCAUGAACUAAUGCCAGGGACCUAUUUGAAUUAGGAAAGAGACAAAAUGGUGUGAUUCGUGCUUCAUUACAUCAUGGUUUGUUGAGGGUUAGGUGAAUAUCUUCCAUUUCAAGACUUUUUAUUUAGGCCAGGCGCGGUGGCUCACACCUGUAAUCCCACCACUUUAGGAGGUUGAGGCGGGCAGAUUACGAGGUCAGGAGAUUGAGACCAUCCUGGCUAACACGGUGAAACCCCAUCUCUACUAAAAAUACAAAACAUUAGCCGGGCGUAGUGGCAGGCGCCUGCAGUCCCAGCUACUUGUGAGGCUGAGGCAGGACAACCGGCGUGAACCCAGGAGGCAGAGGUUGCAGUGAGCCGAGAUCGCGCCACUGCACUCCAGCCUGGACGACAAAGUGAGACUCUGUCUAAAAAAAAAAAAAAAAAAAAAAAAAAGACUUUGUAUUCAAAUAAAGCACAAAUUGUGACAGAAAUCCUCUAGGCUGUGUCAUCAGUUAAGACAAGCCAUACGAUACCAUAGAAAAUACAUAUAAUUUAUUAGAUGGGCUUAAAAUCAACACAAAUCCAUUUUUAGGCACUUCUUGAGUACAGACUAUGGGAAUUUUCUACCAAAGAACAGGAUAUCUAGCAAGCAACAGCAUAAAGAUUUAAACUUUAGUUUUCAGAACAAUACACAAGGGCUAGACAUUGAUAAGAAAUACUGCAUAACUAAUCCAAGUGUAUCCUGGAACAUUUCUUCACAAUCUGACAGGACUUUAGGGUUAACUAGAAAGUUACUUUUUAGCAUCCAAAAUUGUAAUUUCUGGCUUUCUUUCCUUUUUACUCUAUUAUCAUGGUCUUAAAAUAAUCUAUCGCACAUUCUUUGAGGGAGCAUGAUAUACAAGUUUUAUUUUUGUGUAAGUGGAGCUUCAAAGACAUAUUUCUCUAUCUGCAUUUACAGUCAAUGCAUGACAAGUGAUUAUUUCGAUGUCUUUAAAGCCCAUUUCAACAGGUUUAUUUUUUAAGGAUAGGCUUUUCAUUACUAACUCCUUUAGACAUCUAAUGUUUAUCUCUGUUUUGUAAGUAAACAUGAAAAAAAAAAUGGGAUGUGGGCAAUAGUUUCAAGAAUGCCCUUAGAUUAUAGACUACAUAUAAAUUUGGUUUGGCAUCUUUUUCCAAAUCAAACUGAACUGGUAUUCUGUGAAACAUAACCAUUCUUGGUAGUGGGAAGAUAAUACACAUAAAACUUAAUCCUGCCCAUGCCUAACUAGUAGCUCACGGAAGUGGUAGAGUCUGGGUAUUUCUCCUAUCUUUCUGAAUCUACUUCCCAACAUGUGAAGUUAAAUUAAGAAGCAUGAAAAUGUUAAAUAUAAUUUAAAGAAUUCUAAUAUUGGCAUCUAUAUGCUAUACACACUGCAAGCUGGUCUUCUGAUGGACUCCACAUCUCUGAUAAUGCUCUCUAAUGAGCAAAGUCCAAAUCACUACCUCAAGCCAGUGGUGAGAAGAUAGCAAGGAACUAGAAAAGCUACAUAGAAACCACUGGUUUGGAAACCAUUGUCUAUAACAAUAGUUACAAAGAAAGUUUAGAAUAACCUCCAGGACAGAGAUCUCUUCACUAAUAGUAAAUGAAGAUACAGGAGAGCAAAGGAUACCUGAGCUAUGGGGAAGCUGACCUUGAAAGCAAUGAGGUCCAGAUUACAUUUGGAGAGUGGGAGAGGUCAAAGUUACGAGGAGAAACUUGUCUCUACCCAGCCUUGAAAAAGUGAUUGAUGACAACAUACAACUGGGCAGUUGAGAGAAGACUGGAGUUUGGAGAUAACCGAUGAUGUGGUAUUAUCUCCUGUAUACAAAGCAGAGCCUAUUACACGUACAUUCCCAAAAAUGCCUCCAGAGAAAACUAGAAAGUUGUCUAUAGAUUUUCUAUUUACACUAAUAUAAACAGGUUUGGAGGUUGUCUGUACUGUAUGUGGUUGCUGUAGUGACAAGAAAUGUAAAGUGCCUAUACAAGAGGGAACAAUAGAGUCCUAUUUCUAGGCAUCUUAAUACUAUAUGCUGAGACAAAAAGGAAAACAAUGUCAGGGACUUCAUGCCUUUGCUCAAGCUCUGUGCAUUUCUCUGGGUCUCAAAUGACCUACUAGGCACUUUUUAAAGGCCAGAAAAUAAAAACUCUUCUUCCCUCUAUUUCAUCCCAUGCUUCUAAAGUCACUUUCACUGCCUAUAUUAAAAAUGCCAGCCAUCAGUGCUAAAGCACUUUUAUAUUCUUAAGGCAAAAUGUCACAUAAGAAAAUGAAUCCCCUAUCCACUUCCCCACUAUAACCCCUAUACAACCUGCCUUCGUUGUAUCCUUUGCCCAUUAUGAGGACCAAGAGGUACUGGGAAGAUAAAGAGAACUGAAAAUUUCAAACAAGAACCCUCUAUAUAAUGUGUAAGAUGUACUUUUACAGAUGCUAUUAUGAUAAAAUUAAACAUAUUCAAAUGCUUAUAGCAUAUGGUUACUUUUGCCCAGAUAUCAAAAGAAGUUACAUGACUUUCAAAAUUAGUAUCAAAAACAGGAUAUUUAAAUCCAGCCACAUGUACAGAACUAUGAAUCUUUGUUCUUCUCAGAGCUGAACACAAUGACUCCACGAGAUGUUUUCACUCAGAAGUGGCAUAUUAAAAACCCAAAAGCAUCUCCCUCUGCUUAAUUCCACUUAAACUACAUAAAAAUUGCCAAUAUGACUUUUCACCAGCUUCUCCAUUUUAUUUGAAAAUAAUACUUUUAAAAUGAUUUUGACAUUUUCAUAUAUAAAUUUAUUUUUUUCCCAACUAUAAUUUUGGUUUUAUGUACAAGUACACAAGUACCACCUUAUUUUUAAUGUUUACCUUGAAGGGUAGAAAACAAAAUCAUGUUUUAUAAAUGUGGUAUAAAAUUACACAUCUUCUCAUGAUGUCAUGUCAAUAAUCCACUACACUAAACCAACUGUAACAAGGUAGUACAUGCUUUAAACAUCCAAUUAAGAAUAAAUCUGAGCCAACACCUUGAUGAUGACAAGGGAAUGUGCUGAUAUCGUGUUAAACUGAUGUGGCAGUAAUCCAAGGGACUAAGCACAUGAUUAUUCAAAUUAAAACAUAAAAAGGACAAAAGGUGUGGAUUUUCUGGGCUACAUCACAUAAUAUUUGUCUGGCGAAACCAUAAUACAGAUUUGGGUAAAGGAGAUUUUUAAUAGAUAACAAGUAAUUCUUUAUAGGGAUUUGAGAAAGUACGAGAACAUAUGGGAAAAGCUUAGUAAUUUAAGAUUUACUUUUGUAAAACCAUGUGGACAAAUAUUAAAUGUUAUGCUUGCAUUUUGAACAUUAUAAAUAUAAAACAUAAAACAUCCAAUGUUAAAUACUGAUAUCCCAUGCCUGACCUGGAUUUAGAUAUUGAGUAUUUCCCAUUUUAAAGAAAGAAACUUUCAAAGUUUUGUCAAUACUUAAACUAUAUACUAUUAUUCCUCACCAAAAUCUUCAUGAAAUUUAAAAGGCUGAUAUUGAAGGUAGUUUUUUUUUCUCAAAUAUGCUAAAACAUGUGAGUUUGGAUUAACCUUCAGAUUUUCAAGGCAUGAAAGAUACAUAAAUAGAGUACCCAAGAAUAUGUUUUAACACAUUUAGGAUAAGUUUGUUUACAGUUGUGACAGGAAUACCUUUGACUUUCAGACACUGAAAAAAUAUACCCUAAGCAAACAUAAAAGGUGUUUUGGGUCAAGUUACUUCUUAGUACAAAUAAUACGUUGUAUCAAUCAAUUUUUAAGCCAAAUUCUUAAAAUCAUUCAAAAAACACUUGCAUUUUAUAAUUGUCAAUGCAUUUAUGUAAUAGAAGAUACAACAAAAUUUAGAAAUAAAAAAUCUCACACUAUAUUCCAAGUACCAAAAUAAGAAGAAAUUUGCAAAUUAAGAAAUUAUCAAUGUUGCUCAGAAACAUGCCUUACUUUUACUCUGAAAUUCACUUUAACUGCUUGACAUAUAAUUUAAUACUUAAAAAUAAUAUAGCUAAGUUGUUUAAUAGUAUUUAUAGAAUGCUACUUUUCUGGGUAGACAUGUUUCACAAAACAGUUUUCAAUUAAUGCUGAGCAUUCAUUUGAUAAUUGUAAUCAUAAUUUGAUUCACUGAUUAAUGGAUUAAUAAUUUAUUCAGUAAUUUAGAUGCCAUAAGAACCACUGAAAGGAAUAAUCUGAUAGUUGCUCAUUGUACAAUCCUGCCUAUUAGUAAUACUAAGCCAAGAAUCUGCUAGCUUUCCCACUCUGUUGAAUUACAUGUUUCCAUGUGUGUGAUUUUGGUCAACAACAAAAAAUCGAUACACAAUGUCAUGCUUUUUCCUUUUCCUUUUUUUUUUUUUUAAACAAGCAGCUCAGCGAUUUGGGAGGUUGGUUAGUACAAUACAGAGAACACAGAGAGAAAGUAUAAAAUGGCACUGAACACUAAUGCCAAUACUUAUCUCAUUGUGGUUAUAACGAAGGAUAUUAUUAUUUGUGUUAUUUUUGUCUGGAACAUAAAUCAAUGCCAUUAACUUGAACUUGAGGUAUAUACACAAUACACACACAACCUUAAGCAAAAUACUUUUCAUAAGUAACAUUACAUUUUAAAAUAUUGGAAACAUUCGAAUAUCUGUGCUGAUUUGUAUUCUGACUUAAUGGAACAAGAAGAAAAUAACAUUCAACUAGGGAGGGUUAAACUGAUAAUAAAGCUCUUAAAAUUCAAAAUGUCUUCCUCUCCCUUUGUACUUACCAUAGGCUACACAAUGUCCUGAGAGGAUUCAUUAUGAGAAAAAUGUCAAUCACAGCUUCAAUAACUUACUUUGGAAAAAACUAAUGAGAAAGCAAACUGGAAGGUGAGACUUCAUCUUUGUUUUCAAAUAAGUGGUCUUAAUUUUUCUUCUUAUAGAAAAAGUUUAAAUCAGUUUAUUAUAAAUAUAUCUAAACCAUUAAUUUUUGCAGCUUUCAGGUAAAGUCCAGCACUUCAUUUAUACAAAAUCUAUGAGAAGAGGUCAGUAGAGAUCAUCUAAUCUUAAGUCGUGACAUCAUCCAUUCAAGUCCUUGG
rnacentral:lncRNA from 1 species